UACGAAGGGUGCAAACGUUGCUCGGAAUCAUUGGGCGUAAAGCGCACGUAGGCGGCUUCGCAAGUCGGAUGUGAAAUCCCUCGGCUCAACCGAGGACGUGCAUCCGAAACUGCGAGGCUUGAGUACUGAAGAGGAUCGCGGAAUUCCCGGUGUAGCGGUGAAAUGCGUAGAUAUCAGGAGGAACACCUGUGGUGUAGACGGCUUUCUGGACCGUAGCUGACGCUGAGACACGAAAGCGUGGGUAGCAAACAGG
rnacentral:rRNA from 1 species